AUAUCCCUGCCGUGCGCGUUGGAGUUUUUUGAUGAUUGUUGAACCAACACCAAUAUAAAGGGAGCUUCGCUUCAUUGGCACCUUGGUGUCAGUGAGAAAGCACCCACUUGUAACCAAAACGGUUCAGCCCAUCAGAAUCCAACGGCACAUGCGGGGAUUCU
rnacentral:sRNA from 1 species